GCGGAAAUAGCUCAGUUGGCAGAGCGUUGGCUUCCCAAGCCGAAGGUCGCGGGUUCGAAACCCGUUUUCCGCUCCA
rnacentral:tRNA from 1 species